UAGACGGGAUUGGGCGAGUGCCCUGGGGCACCAGCCAGUAAGGGGGCACCAAGUGAUUAAGAAAAUAACUAGACCUUUAAAAUAUUUUUAAUGUUUUGUAUAUAUUAUUUUGCUGGAAGAGUUGCAGAUGCAUAGAAAAUAAACAGUUAAUGAUCCAAUGUAUACAGAGAGAAUAUAAAAUAUAUGCAUGCAUAUAGAACUGCGAUUGGGUCAGGCCACAGUGUAAUUGCGCCCUCCCCCAGUCAGAGUCGAGCCCGCCAAUUUAUAAUAUUCAAUUCAUAAUGGAUAGGCAGCAUCAGCGUAGCAGUUGGGCUAAAUGUAAAUUAAAAAAUGAGAAAAUAUCAGGGCACAUAGCCAGGGCUCUACAAUGCGACUGAAAAGUACUGCGUGCAACUAUCAAAACAUACCCGAUCAGCAUUUGUGUUUGCGCUCGCGCUCAGGGGAGCUUCAAAGGUUUCUACUUGCGUGUUCGCGCAGCGAGACCUGAUUCCCUGGACUCUGGUGUGGAGUUUUGCAGCAGAUGGCAGUAAAGCGUCUGAGGAGCGACUCGAAUCCAGAAGAAGAGCCCAGCUGCUGAAGCAUGGCGGCACAGUAGCCCUCUUUGUCUGUUUGAUUGUUUUAAAGCAUGUAUUUUCCCUCUGAAUUUGUGCUCUAAUCCAGAGACGCAGCACGAAGGCUUCUGCUGAUUCUGGUCGAUGACGCCAUCAGGAGCACAUCCGAGCACCGAGUGUCAGAUAAUUAAUGUCUACGCUUCACGGUCCAGAAGACCCAAGAGACGUCCUCAUUACAAGUUCAGUACAUCUGCAGGAUCCGAGUGGUGAUGCUAUUUGGAUUUUUAAUACACUAUGAAUUAAACUUACAGUUGUCUUUUUUUAAUUCAAACAUGUACAAUCAUAAAGAAAAUUAAUUAUGCAGUACAAUAAUUUGGGAUAAAUGUCAAAAAUCGAUGUUUUCGCUCCAGCGCUGAUCUCACACCAGUUCAUUCUCCAACAGUUCAAUCCUCUUCAUCACAGUGUCUAGUGUUGUGCUGUUAAGAAAUGUCAUUUUUGUGUGCUGUUGGUGAGAAAUGAUGUAAAACACUGGAUCUUUUGAGUUCAUUUAUGUUCAGCAGUCAUUAGUGAUAUGUUAGACGCUGACGCUUGUCAAAUAAACCACGUUUCACACGGAA